CCGACAAAAGAGAGCGUCAAAAAGAAGAAGAAAAAAAAAAAGAAGCUAAAAGUCCAUGUCAAUUGCGACCGCAUGUUAUGACCAGAAACUGCGACUUCAUUUGGACGGUAGUAAGAAACGGGCGCUGGCAUGUGGCUGUUAGAAGCCCGGUAAAAAUGUGGGGAAAACAUGCAAGAAAAGGCAUUGGAGGCUUGGGAAAGGCCUAAAAGAAACUU
rnacentral:lncRNA from 1 species